rnacentral:rRNA from 1 species
GACGAACCGUGCGAACGUUGUUCGGAAUCACUGGGCUUAAAGGGCGCGUAGGCGGGUCUGCAAGUCCGGGGUGAAAGCCCCCAGCUCAACUGGGGAAGUGCCUUGGAAACUGCGGGUCUUGAGGGAGGUAGGGGCAUGUGGAACUUCGGGUGGAGCGGUGAAAUGCGUUGAUAUCGGAAGGAACGCCGGUGGCGAAAGCGGCGUGCUGGACCUUUUCUGACGCUGAUGCGCGAAAGCCAGGGGAGCGAACGGG